rnacentral:misc_RNA from 1 species
AAGUCGUAACAAGGUUUCCGUAGGAUCGACUGCGGAAGGAUCAUUACAAAUAACUGGAUAGGAAGUGGGGUCUGAUCUGUAAGUGGUAGAGCAGAACAGUCCGGCUGCCUCCCGAAAUGUCUUUACAAUGUCCCCCACAGCCUUGAAGGCCGAAUUACAACCCUUGAUUUCUACACUUGUUAGCUUUGGGGGUGCUCAAGGCCCCAGAAGGACCCAACUCUCUUUGCAUUUUAGAGACGUCUGAGUACUAUAAUAUUUUAAAA